AGAGGGGGGCAAUCUACUUUGUACAUUUCUAUGACUGUAAUGAAAACUCUCGGGGGACGCGAGGGCGCUCACGAUUGGUCCUUUAUUUCGCGAAGUGAGCGACGCUGCAGUGGGUCGAUAUCAAUGUUGGUAUCGAUGUUUUGUGACGUAGUACAUCUUCACGGGGUCAAAGGAUCGAGUUGCAGCAACGAUCAGACGUGUCGUCUCCUGUCCGCAGCAGCCGUGAUUUCACGAGAUUUAUUGUACACAGUGUUACAAUAUUAUUGAACAUCGUAAGUAUUGUAAGAAAAAAAAGUGUAACGGUCAGACAUGUCGUGCCCUGUCCGGAGCAACGAGCAGUCGUGAUUUCACGAAAUUUAUUGUACACAGCAGUGUUACAAUAUCAUUAAACAUCGUAAAUAUUGUAUAUCCUUCAUUGUGUCGACAGCGAGGGACAUUAGACGACGCUACGAUCCACGAGGUAUCAACUGAAAGCUGCGAAAUUAUUGCCUAAUUUAGGAGAUGUCUGGCUAAAGAUCAAACAACACGAAGAAGAGGCCUAAUUUUUCAAACUGCUUGUUGCAUCGUGUCGUGCAUAACAGAGAAAUUUCGCGUUAUUUUAUCACGUUCGACAAGUAUCGCGAAUGCGAAUAUAUUAAAUUAUCAUGUGCGAAUUCGAGUCGUAUUCGCGAGUGUAAGUAUCAACAACGGAAGAUCAAAAGAUGUAGGUCGAAGGAGGACGACAUGGCGCACCGAGAAAAGACGGCAGUAUCUAUGGAUAGAGGACAAAUAUGAGGACGCAUCGAGAAAAGAAUCGGCGAAUGGUUUGCAAAACACAGUGCGAUUCACACGUCGGGAGUUCCGUAUAAAAUGUCGCACGUCGGGAGUGCCGUGUAAAAUUUUGCGUGUCGGGAGUGCCGAGUAAAGUGUCGGGCGAUUGUAAUAAUUUGUUUUUUUCGCGAGUGUAUGAGUGCUGCAAAGGACCAAGAGAGGAGGAAAAGGAGGAGUACGAGGCUCGGGGAGGCAUUGAGCAUCGGGUGACAGCGGGGCAACUGUAAGGUCAAUGUGCUACAACUCCGCUAUUGCAGGUAUUGCAAUUAUGGAAUACACUUUGAAUGUUCGAAAAACUGAGAGACAUCUUGCUCGUUGAAAGGAAACAUAAUAGAUAGAAUAGCUAGAUGAAAACACAUCAACGACGCAAGAUGCAUCGUUCUCCAGGGUGACGUUCCAGAAAUAGCUCAAGACAUUGCGGUGCAAUCGCGGCUGCUUUCGUUCAUCAGUUCAAGGUUAAAAGCCCGUCGCCAUCGCGUGGUAGCUGCAACUUCCAUGGGACCAAAAUACAUCCCCUCACUGAUAUAUAAAUACAACGUCCGAAAAAAAAGAUCGAAGAAAAGGAUGCUGACGAUGUAUGCCGAUAACCUUCCCUAAGACAUUGACGUCGCGAUAUAUAGGAAACAGAGUCGCGAAACUCGUAGAAUUUUCCACACUACAUCUCCUUACAUAUCAUCACGGAUCAGAUUUUCCUUGUAGCGUCCGUACAACGCAUUUAAACGUGCAUUUAAAUGCGCAUUCGCGAACGAUAAGAGUCAAGAAUCACGUAUCAUCUAAGGUGCGCAGCACAGAGAGAAGAUCUAUGAGACCUGAUAUACGUGUCCAGGUCUAAUCUGACUUUGAUUCGUUGAAAUCUGAGACUACUAACAUUUCUCCGAGCAAGUAUCGACGCGAGCUCAAUCGUCACGCAUGGACGUGUUGCGUGCUUGUAAAAACGAAUUAAACAUUCCAUGAUCGACGGACGCGAUGAGGUUAUCCGCAAUAGAUGCAUUGACCUUUACAAUGGAUACACCCCGGCGUGUCGAUGACACUGUGUUCUAUAAAGAUACCCUGAGGAGGUAUCGGCGCGAAGGUACGAUGCACCUACGUGCAGCCGGGUCAAGGUCGUACUCCUCGUGCGCCGGGCCGGCUGAGUCAUUCGUGCAGAAUCGUGCAUGCACAGAGUGCUAGGCGUAUGCGAGUGCAUCGAACCCGAGAUGACCGUUGCAGCUGCAAGCGCGAUGCUGGUAGCCUGCCUCGGUCGUUCCCGGUGCACGUCGGCCACCUUCGGUUGCAUUCCGCGUGCAUCAACCCGAGAGAUCAGCAUCGAGAAGCGCCGUCGAGUGCAAUGCCCAUAAUACCGUGUUCGCGCGAAACAGCUGCGCGAGACGGAGAGAAAGCUCAUCCCUCUCCUGGGAGAGGAUGCGAGGACUCUCAGAGGAGGCUCGUCGUCGAAAAGAAGAUGCGACCAGGGAGAGAAACCGCGGAGGAAGAAAUGCAGGAUUGCGCAUCCGAUUGGAAAGCUGAAGGGAUGCGCUUGAUGGGGACAGAAUUACUUGCAACUGAUGUACUUCUCCAUCGGAGAUGCAGCGAGGAAAAUUUCUACUUGCAACGUCUAUGCGCGGAUUAGUCUUUGGACGUGUUUCUCUUAGAUUUCAGAUGUCAGAAUUUCAAGUCUAAUUUUAUAGAUCUUUAAUUCAACUUCGAUAUUACUCAAAUUCAACGUAAGAAUAAAGAUUCAAUGAUGAGCAUUAAAUGUAAUUAAAUUUCUUAUAUAAUGACGUUUCUACGAGCUUACGGAUAAUCUUAAUCGCGAGCAACCGUGAGCGUCAGGUAUUGUUACGUUAAGACUAAAGUUCGUGACUGCGGUGACCUUACCUAGAGACCUCGGACACCAAGUUCAACAAUUUUGCUUAUGUUUGAGAGACGCUGCGAAGGGCCGAUGCACCAGCCAGGGUGAAUGUUCUCCACGCGCUAGCUCGCUCGUCGACUUUGUAGAGCGUGGCAACGCUCGCGCAUACACGCAUCCAGGCGCGUUGUGCGUACGUGCUUGCCAGCUUCCAGGGAUGGGCUAAUGCUCCUCUGAUCGAGACAUAUCUGUUACCAGUUUCCUACAUCCAACAGUUCAUCCGAACUGGUUUUCUUUUCACUUUAUAUACAUUUCGCGAGCGAUUCUUUUACUCUAUAUUCUCUGGCUCAAGGUCGUAAAAUACGAGAGUUUAGAAAAGAUAAUUAUUAUUUAAUGAAAUCGAUUCUCUGUGAUUCGGAGUUUCUUCAUUGGAAUUUAUACAUAUAUAAAACGAGAAAGGAUAGAAUUAUGUGUAAUAUCAUUAAUGUAUUGAAAUUUCUAAGAGCUUUUAUGCCUAUUUACCUGAAUUUCUUAUUUCUUAUUUUGUGUUAUUGCUUUAAAAAUGAUAAUUGUCUAUAUAACUGAUAAGAAGCGAACUUUCCUUUACAUAUCAUCUGCAUGUACUAGUUAUAUAAAUAAUUUAUACAGAAUUUACGUCAAGCUAUUGAUCAAAAGUACUAAUAGUAAAAAUUUUUGAUGUUCACAGGAUCACACACACACACAUGGAGGAAAUUGGUCAGAGGAUUAUAUAGAGAAAUUUAGGAGUGACAUUUAACCGAACAAUUUACCCGGCCCUGAAAGCAUUACGGCGAGUGAAACGUCCGAGAGUGGACGUUGCAUAUGUGCAAAACGGGCGCAGCGCGGGACGAGGAAAGAGAAAAAGUCCAUCAUGGGAAGAGGAGCAAGAGGGAGAGGAGAAGGAGGGCGACGUCGGGGGCGGAGGGAGAGUGCAUGGGACACCGUGUGCAGCACUCGUGCUGCACGCGUUUCGCAUGGCCACGGGGUUCACUGUCCCGAGCCAAGGCCGCAGGGGCACCGCCCCACUGAACCAAUUGUGCCACUUUUAUGCUCGUCGACUCAUUUUCGAGUUUUAUUACUUGCAAUACGUGUGCGCCCUCCUCCUCCUCCUCUUUCGAGCACGUGCAUUAACCGCAUUGAAACCAUACAUGGAAGUACGCAUACCUUCGAUGGAACAUCGUCAACGAUCGAAAAUGUGUCAUGGAUCUUCCAGUCGUAACGCCUGGCGCACACGGAUUUGCGAACCCCGGGAAAUGCGUUUGAGUUUGCGAACCCCCCCAGACUGGAGGGGAUUGACCCAGACACCCCCUCCAGCAGACGAUUCUCCCUCUACCGGGUAGCUGUGGCUGCUUCUAGAACCCUACGCUAUAGUCGAUGGAACGAGGGUGCAAAACCCCGUCUGCUUGAUAAACCGUUGCACCGCCCAAGCACGAUAAACGCGAUAUCGUUUAUCCAUUCGUGAAAAAAAAUUCAACCCGUACUGUACACUCGUGUAUUGCCCCUCGUAUGAAGCCGUAAUUUCUUUCAUAUUUUAUGAGAGCAAAAUUAAAUUGCAAAUCAUCAAAAUGAAAUUAGAUCUCGCAUCGUUAUUGUUUUUUCGAAUGAAAUUAAUACGCAGUUAUUUUAUUAUCUUGUUAGAAUGUUAGAAU